rnacentral:rRNA from 1 species
CGCUGGCGGCACGCCUAAUACAUGCAAGUCGAACGAAGUAGCAAUACUUAGUGGCAGACGGGUGAGUAACAUGUGGGUAUCUUCCCUUUGGUGAGGAAUAACACGAGGAAACUUGUGCUAAUACCUCAUAAGUCUUUACGGAGAAAGCUUUAUGCGCCAUUGGAUGAGCCCGCACUUGAUUAGUUUGUUGGUGGGGUAAUGGCCUACCAAGACUUUGAUCAAUAGCUGAUUUGAGAGGAUGAUCAGCCACAUUGGGACUGAGACACGGCCCAAACUCCUACGGGAGGCAGCAGUAGGGAAUCUUGCACAAUGGAGGAAACUCUGAUGCAGCGAUGCCGCGUGAGUGAAGAAGGCCCUUGGGUUGUAAAGCUCUUUCGUCGGGGAAGAAAAUGACUGUACCCGAAUAAGAAGGUCCGGCUAACUUCGUGCCAGCAGCCGCGGUAAUACGAAGGGACCUAGCGUAGUUCGGAAUUACUGGGCUUAAAGAGUUCGUAGGUGGUUAAAAAAGUUGGUGGUGAAAUCCCAGAGCUUAACUCUGGAACUGCCAUCAAAACUUUUUAGCUAGAGUAUGAUAGAGGAAAGCAGAAUUUCUAGUGUAGAGGUGAAAUUCGUAGAUAUUAGAAAGAAUACCGAUUGCGAAGGCAGCUUUCUGGAUCAUUACUGACACUGAGGAACGAAAGCAUGGGUAGCGAAGAGGAUUAGAUACCCUCGUAGUCCAUGCCGUAAACGAUGUGUGUUAGACGUUGGAAAUUUAUUUUCAGUGUCGCAGCGAAAGCAAUAAACACACCGCCUGGGGAGUACG